rnacentral:rRNA from 1 species
CGUGAGCGCCAGCUGACACAUGCUAGUCGACGAUGAACCACCUUCGGGUGGGGAUUAGUGGCGAACGGGUGAGUAACACGUGGGCAAUCUGCCCUGCACUCUGGGUCAAGCCCUGGAAACGGGGUCUAAUACCGGUUACUGACCUGCCAAGGCAUCUUGGCGGGUCGAAAGCUCCGGCGGUGCAGGUUGAGCCCGCGGCCUAUCAGCUUGUUGGGGAGGUAUGGGGGCUCACCAAGGCGACGACGGGUAGCCGGCCUGAGAGGGCGACCGGCCACACUGGGACUGAGUCACGGCCCAGACUCCUACGGGAGGCAGCAGUGGGGAAUAUUGCACAAUGGGCGAAAGCCUGAUGCAGCGACGCCGCGUGAGGGUUGACGGCCUUCGGGUUGUAAACCUCUUUCAGCAGGGAAGAAGCGAAAGUGACGGUACCUGCAGAAGAAGCGCCGGCUAACUACGUGCCAGCAGCCGCGGUAAUACGUAGGGCGCAAGCGUUGUCCGGAAUUAUUGGGCGUAAAGAGCUCGUAGGCGGCUUGUCGCGUCGGUUGUGAAAGCCCGGGCCUUAAUCCCCCGGGUUCUGCAGUCGAAUACGGGCAGGCUAGGAGUUCGGUAGGGGGAGAUCGGAAUUUCUGGUGUAGCGGUGAAAAUGCGCAGAUAUCAGGAGGAACACCGGUGGCGAAGGCGGAUCUCUGGGCCGAUACUGACGCUGAGGAGCGAAAGCGUGGGGAGCGAACAGGAUUAGAUACCCUGGUAGUCCACGCCGUAAACGGUGGGCACUAGGUGUGGGCAACAUUCCACGUUGUCCGUGCCGCAGCUAACGCAUUAAGUGCCCCGCCUGGGGAGUACGGCCGCAAGGCUAAAACUCAAAGGAAUUGACGGGGGCCCGCACAAGCGGCGGAGCAUGUGGCUUAAUUCGACGCAACGCGAAGAACCUUACCAAGGCUUGACAUACACCGGAAAGCAUCAGAGAUGGUGCCCCCCUUGUGGUCGGUGUACAGGUGGUGCAUGGCUGUCGUCAGCUCGUGUCGUGAGAUGUUGGGUUAAGUCCCGCAACGAGCGCAACCCUUGUCCCGUGUUGCCAGCAACACUUCGGAGGUUGGGGACUCACGGGAGACCGCCGGGGUCAACUCGGAGGAAGGUGGGGACGACGUCAAGUCAUCAUGCCCCUUAUGACUUGGGCUGCACACGUGCUACAAUGGCCGGUACAAUGAGCUGCGAUACCGCAAGGUGGAGCGAAUCUCAAAAAGCCGGUCUCAGUUCGGAUUGGGGUCUGCAACUCGACCCCAUGAAGUCGGAGUCGCUAGUAAACGCAGAUCAGCAUUGCUGCGGUGAAUACGUUCCCGGGCCUUGUACACACCGCCCGUCACGUCACGAAAGUCGGUAACACCCGAAGCCGGUGGCCCAACCCCUUGUGGGAGGGAGCUUCUAAGGUGUAUCUCCG